rnacentral:rRNA from 1 species
UACGAAGGGGGCUAGCGUUGCUCGGAAUCACUGGGCGUAAAGGGUGCGUAGGCGGCCGUGCAAGUCUGGCGUGAAAGCCCCGGGCUCAGCCCGGGAAGUGCGCUCGAAACUGCGCGGCUCGAGUGCCGGAGGGGAGAGUGGAAUUCCUGGUGUAGCGGUGAAAUGCGUAGAUAUCAGGAGGAACACCGGUGGCGAAGGCGGGUCUCUGGGCCGAUACUGACGCUGAGGAGCGAAAGCGUGGGGAGCGAACAGG